rnacentral:rRNA from 1 species
CAGUGGGGAAUAUUGCACAAUGGGGGAAACCCUGAUGCAGCCAUGCCGCGUGUGUGAAGAAGGCCUUCGGGUUGUAAAGCACUUUCAGUAGGGAGGAAGGUAGUGUAGUUAACACCUGCACUAUUUGACGUUAGCUGCAGAAGAAGCACCGGCUAACUCCGUGCCAGCAGCCGCGGUAAUACGGAGGGUGCGAGCGUUAAUCGGAAUUACUGGGCGUAAAGCGCAUGCAGGUGGUUUGUUAAGUCAGAUGUGAAAGCCCGGGGCUCAACCUCGGAAUUGCAUUUGAAACUGGCAGACUAGAGUACUGUAGAGGGGGUAGAAUUUCAGGUGUAGCGGUGAAAUGCGUAGAGAUCUGAAGGAAUACCGGUGGCGAAGGCGGCCCCCUGGACAAAGACUGACGCUCAGAUGCGAAAGCGUGGGGAGCAAACAGGAUUAGAUACCCUGGUAG